CCUACGGGUGGCAGAAGGGAGGAAGAAUGGUCAAUGGGCGAGAGCCGGAAGCAGCCAAGGAGCGUGAAGGAUGAAGGCCCUACGGGGUGUAAACUUCGUUUAUAAAGGAAUAAAGUGAGGCACGUGUGCCUUUUUGUAUGUACUUUAUGAAUAAGGAUCGGCUAACUCCGUGCCAGCAGCCGCGGUAAUACGGAGGAUCCGAGCGUUAUCCGGAUUUAUUGGGUUUAAAGGGAGCGUAGAUGGGUUGUUAAGUCAGUUGUGAAAGUUUGGGGCUCAACCCUAAAAUGGCCUUUGAUACUGGCAGUCUUGAGUACAGUUGAGGUAGGCUGAAUUCGUGGUGUAUCGGU
rnacentral:rRNA from 1 species